rnacentral:rRNA from 1 species
GACGAACGCUGGCGGCGUGCCUAAUACAUGCAAGUAGAACGCAGUUGCGAACGGGUGAGUAACGCGUAGGUAACUGCCUGGUAGCGGGGGAUAACAAUUGGAAACGAUAGCUAAUACCGCAUAAUACCAGAUGGACCUGAGUGGUAUUAGCUAGUUGGUGAGGUAACGGCUCACCAAGGCAACGAUACAUAGCCGACUGUAGAGGGUGAAGGGCCAACUGGGGACUGAGACCAGGCCCAGACUCCCAAGGGAGGUAGCAGUAGGGAAUCUUCGGCAAUGGGUGGAACCCUGAACGAGCAACGCCGCGUGAGUGAAGAAGGUUUUCGGAUCGUAAAGCUCUGUUGUUAAGGAAGCGGUACUUAACCAGAAAGGGACGGCUAACUACGUGCCAGCAGCCGCGGUAAUAC